AGUGAACGCUGGCGGUAGGCCUAACACAUGCAAGUCGAACGGCAGCACAGUAAGAGCUUGCUCUUACGGGUGGCGAGUGGCGGACGGGUGAGGAAUACAUCGGAAUCUACUUUUUCGUGGGGGAUAACGUAGGGAAACUUACGCUAAUACCGCAUACGACCUACGGGUGAAAGCAGGGGAUCUUCGGACCUUGCGCGAUUGAAUGAGCCGAUGUCGGAUUAGCUAGUUGGCGGGGUAAAGGCCCACCAAGGCGACGAUCCGUAGCUGGUCUGAGAGGAUGAUAAGCCACACUGGAACUGAGACACGGUCCAGACUCCUACGGGAGGCAGCAGUGGGGAAUAUUGGACAAUGGGCGCAAGCCUGAUCCAGCCAUACCGCGUGGGUGAAGAAGGCCUUCGGGUUGUAAAGCCCUUUUGUUGGGAAAGAAAAGCAGCAGGUUAAUACCCCGCUGUUCUGACGGUACCCAAAGAAUAAGCGCCGGCUAACUUCGUG
rnacentral:rRNA from 1 species